AACAUGGGUGCUGUGACAAGGAAAAGUCWGGUUUAAAGUCCCUAUUCCUUUCCAGUGAGUGACUUCCCAUGGGCAGCAUUAAGAAAUGUUAUAAUGUAGCAGGGAAAUGUGUCCAAGUGUCAAAGUUUAUUUAGUAAUCAUUUAAUAUUUGCCUACWUUUCAAAGCUGCUCUGGGGGUAUUUCUGGAACAUCAUCGAGGCCCUGGGUGGGAUUCUUUUCUGCCCUGUUGAAACCUGUCUGGGAUUUGAGAACCUGGGAUUCCUGUUCUCUGUGGCUUAUCUGGAGACCACCAGCUCAAAAAGAUUGCCCCACAGCUCAUCUCAGUGUUUUGGCUUUAGCUGAAAGAGUUUUUAAUUGAAAACCUCUUAGGCCAUAAGCCAGACUCUUACCAUGGGGACAAUAACUUUUUACUCUUCCCUGAAAGAUGCCAYGAGAAAAAUGACAAAGGUAAUGAAUUCUUCCACACUUUGAUUACUCACAGAGCAAAAUAGUCUGCAGAGUCCACUCUGAGUUGGUGUCAGCAAGGAAACAGCUUUGCUUUUAUGAGGUAAUUCCUUGGAGGARGACAGAGUAGGAUAGGGGGGCAUUUGCUGGGCUCUUGGUGUUAGAGAAGAGGACACUUUUGUGGCCCAGACUUGGAGGGGUGAUGGCAGCUCCUGCACCUGGGUGGGUUUGGAUCAGCUGWGGGCUUCCAGGCUGUCUGCUGAUUGUUGGCUUUUAGACCCACGAGUCCUAGCUGGGGCCAUGCAACAGCCCUGCAGGAGAUGGGACAAGGAGCACAGCCUGAAUCACACCAGGAGGAAGAGAAAACCACGGCUCCCCUAAAUCCUGCUGCUGUGGAGAGCAGGAAUGGUGCCAAUACCGAACAUACCAGCACAGCAAGGAGCCCUUCUCCCUCCCCAGGGGCUAUUAGGGUGGUUUCAGCCUCUCACAGUGUCUAGAGAGAGGAGCUGGUUUGAGGAUAUUGCUUACAGGAAUAUUUUGGGAACUCAUUAAAAAGAGAAUUAUAAACCAGCCCUGGUGCGACUGAGAUAAYGUGGUGUGUAAGUGUGCAGGAAACACGAACAUCCUCUCAAUUAAAUUCAAUUAAUUGUUUUACAGCUGCUCAGCAAAUACCAUGAGGUUCAGGUGGGGAGAUGCAGUGCAGGGAUUCCACCAGGUCUGGAUGGAGCAGGGAUACACCCCGUCCUGGAAAGGGAGACCACCUGGAUAUCCAUCCUCAGCAGGCCCUUUGUGACAUACCCCGCUGAGGACCGUUUGGCUCUGUUGCCUUUGAACCUGCCCUCCAGGAAUCUAUGGCUCUGGGCAGCAGUGCCCUGCAGAGACUCCCUGCCUCUCCUCCACCCUGAGCAGUGAGGAGCCCUCCCAGAGCUGGAGCUGCUGACAAAUGUGUUGGAUGCAGCUGUCUGUAUCCARGGAACGGAGCGUGUGAGCGGCACAGCGAGCCAAGGCACGCGAUCGGAAUGAUCAACGGGCAAAAUCUGGGUGCUAAGGCAUGGGCUGGAACAUCUGAUUGGAAGGCUGGGAGGAAAAAAAGGAAGGCUGAGUUGUUUAUGGUUUGUUUUUCAUUCAUCAUUCCUGCUUGUGUGGGUGGACAAGGAGUGAAUGAGUUUCUCAGGGAGGGCAGCAAAUAAAAGAGGCACACAUUUCCUUGAAGGAUGAGUAGCUUUUUUUCCUUCCUGGUGCCUAGGUGAAUAUGUCACAAAGGGGAUGGAAAGAUCCCU